rnacentral:lncRNA from 1 species
GACACUGAAAUCGUUAUUAAAUCUAAGGAACCUAGGUCUCAUCAAAAAUUCAAGCACAUUCUCAGAUGCUUCUAUCUUGUUAGAGAUAAGAUGUUAUCCUUAAAUGAGUAGACAUAAAGAACAAUAUAGCAGACCCAUUCAUUAAGGUCAUACCAUAGCAGCUAUAUGAUCGUCAUCUUGAUUGUAUGGGAUACAAAAGCGAUUGACUUUAGUGCAAGUGGAAGAUUGAAAGAAGAGUGCCCUAUAAGCUAAUUGUAAGGUUGUU